UCUUCAUUUCUCAUGCUCUCUCACCGGUCAGAGAGGCGAGAGAGUGUGCGAAAUGAGGAGA
rfam:Pristionchus pacificus strain PS312 contig6189, whole genome shotgun sequence.